rnacentral:rRNA from 1 species
GAUGAACGCUGGCGGCGUGCCUAAUACAUGCAAGUCGAUCGAACAGACGAGGAGCUUGCUCCUCUGACGUUAGCGGCGGACGGGUGAGUAAAACGUGGUUAACCUACCUAUAAGACUGGGAUAACUUCGGGAAACCGGAGCUAAUACCGGAUAAUAUAUUGAACCGCAUGGUUCAAUAGUGAAAGACGGUUCUGCUGACACUUACAGAUGGAUCGGCGCUUCAUUAGCUAGUUGGUAAGGUAACGGCUUACCAAGGCAACGAUGCGUAGCCGACCUGAGAGAGUGAUCGGCCACACUGGAACUGAGACACGGUCCAGACUCCUACGGGAGGCAGCAGUAGGGAAUCUUCCGCAAUGGGCGAAAGCCUGACGGAGCAACGCCGCGUGAGUGAUGAAGGUCUUCGGAUCGUAAAAAUCUGUUAUUAGGGAAGAACAAAUGUGUAAGUAACUAUGCACAUAUUGACGGUACCUAGUCAGAAAGCCACGGCUAACUACGUG